GGGUAUAUGGCUCAGUGGUAGAGCACUUAUCUGGUAUAUAUGAGGCCCUGGGUUCAACCCCCAGAACCA
rnacentral:tRNA from 1 species